rnacentral:rRNA from 1 species
UACGUAGGGUGCAAGCGUUUGUCCGGAAUUAUUGGGCGUAAAGAGCUUGUAGGUGGUUUGUCGCGUCUGCUGUGAAAAUCCGGGGCUCAACCCCGGACUUGCAGUGGGUACGGGCAGACUAGAGUGUGGUAGGGGAGACUGGAAUUCCUGGUGUAGCGGUGGAAUGCGCAGAUAUCAGGAGGAACACCGAUGGCGAAGGCAGGUCUCUGGGCCAUUACUGACACUGAGAAGCGAAAAGCAUGGGGGAGCGAACAGG